rnacentral:tRNA from 1 species
UGCGGGUAUAGUUCAAUGGUAGAACGCUAGCUUCCCAAGCUAGAGAUGAGGGUUCGAUUCACUCUAUCCGCU